rnacentral:sRNA from 1 species
GUGGGCUGCAGCGCAGCGGCACCCAACGCAUCUAGCAGGAAAGGAGAGGGAGCUUUCCCCGAAGACCCUCCUGGACCAGCCCCAGGCUCCUGUGCUGGUGAGGCCGAGGGAGAGGGAUGUGGGCAUAGGACACGUAGCAGGAUUUCCAUUUUAGAGGCAGCCGGACCUGUCUUCAGGUCGCUUCCUUGGUGAGAGACAGGGGUACGCCAGAGGAAGCUGGGCGCUCGGCCUCCGUGCAGCCUCAUCUCCUGGAAUCUGAGUAUUGAAAACUGGGCUUUUACUUCGCACACCUCAGCACAGACUCCCAUGGGAAUCCAGGUCACAGCAAAGCAGCCCUGGGCCUCCAUUCUCCUUUAAGCAAGCAUGACAAUCCUCACUUCACUGAGUUUUUAUUAAAACUAGCAAUGACCUUAGAAAGCAAGGCAUGACCUCAGCUCCACUUUUGAGGCUGCAGUCCAUUCAGAGAGGUUUCGCAGACUCGGUAACGGCCAGAACAGACAGCCUGGGCCCUGCCGCAGGCUGACUCAGAAUCUUUGGGAGUAGUGACCAACUUCUGCUUUUGGAAAAACCUCUACAGGCGGUUCUGAGAAGUCCAAGGGUUGCUGGGAGAGGUUGGUGAGUGGCGUGGUGAUUACAUGUGUCUUGGAAGCAUCCUGGGCUGGGAUUUGAUAAGAAACCAUUAGGUGGAAGAACCUUCCUUUUAAAAAAGAUCUCUUCAUUCUCUGCCUAGCAGGUUGCACGCCAGGGCCUGUACUGACCACCUCCACGUGCCACUGGGGCUGUAAGGAGG